rnacentral:rRNA from 1 species
GGGGAGCCGAAGGGAAACCGAGUCUUAACUGGGCGUUAAGUUGCAGGGUAUAGACCCGAAACCCGGUGAUCUAGCCAUGGGCAGGUUGAAGGUUGGGUAACACUAACUGGAGGACCGAACCGACUAAUGUUGAAAAAUUAGCGGAUGACUUGUGGCUGGGGGUGAAAGGCCAAUCAAACCGGGAGAUAGCUGGUUCUCCCCGAAAGCUAUUUAGGUAGCGCCUCGUGAAUUCAUCUCCGGGGGUAGAGCACUGUUUCGGCAAGGGGGUCAUCCCGACUUACCAACCCGAUGCAAACUGCGAAUACCGGAGAAUGUUAUCACGGGAGACACACGGCGGGUGCUAACGUCCGUCGUGAAGAGGGAAACAACCCAGACCGCCAGCUAAGGUCCCAAAGUCAUGGUUAAGUGGGAAACGAUGUGGGAAGGCCCAGACAGCCAGGAUGUUGGCUUAGAAGCAGCCAUCAUUUAAAGAAAGCGUAAUAGCUCACUGGUCGAGUCGGCCUGCGCGGAAGAUGUAACGGGGCUAAACCAUGCACCGAAGCUGCGGCAGCGACACUAUGUGUUGUUGGGUAGGGGAGCGUUCUGUAAGCCUGUGAAGGUGUGCUGUGAGGCAUGCUGGAGGUAUCAGAAGUGCGAAUGCUGACAUAAGUAACGAUAAAGCGGGUGAAAAGCCCGCUCGCCGGAAGACCAAGGGUUCCUGUCCAACGUUAAUCGGGGCAGGGUGAGUCGACUCCUAAGGCGAGGCCGAAAGGCGUAGUCGAUGGGAAACAGGUUAAUAUUCCUGUACUUGGUGUUACUGCGAAGGGGGGACGGAGAAGGCUAUGUUGGCCGGGCGACGGUUGUCCCGGUUUAAGCGUGUAGGCUGGUUUUCCAGGCAAAUCCGGAAAAUCAAGGCUGAGGCGUGAUGACGAGGCACUACGGUGCUGAAGCAACAAAUGCCCUGCUUCCAGGAAAAGCCUCUAAGCAUCAGGUAACAUCAAAUCGUACCCCAAACCGACACAGGUGGUCAGGUAGAGAAUACCAAGGCGCUUGAGAGAACUCGGGUGAAGGAACUAGGCAAAAUGGUGCCGUAACUUCGGGAGAAGG